rnacentral:lncRNA from 1 species
AUCUCCACAAUGCAACUAUUUGCCACCCACCCACCAACACUCAGCUAGCAAUAAAACUGCUCACUGACCAAUGCCCCACUAGCAACAUGACGUCUUGCUACCUCCAAAUGACACCCAGCCAAUCCCUUAGCAGCAGCCCUUCUCUGGCCAACUCCCCAUAGCUUUAUGGCCUUCCACAUGACAUCACACAGUAAGGAAUAACCCCUGGCCUAAUUCAGGCAUCUGUCCUGGCUCUGCUUUGUGCCCCUCCAUUGCUCCAUCAUGGCAGCAGCUCUUUCCUUUUGAGCGGCUUGGCCUGGCCGCGGGAACACUUCUAUCACUCAGCAACAGCCAAAAUAUCAGUGUGCUAUUAACACUGUCUCAGCUAAAACCAGGACAGGAGGCUAACUUUCAUUAGGCUGCACGUUCCCAAGGAUUUCCCCCAAGACAAGCCUGAGAUAUUUGCGUCCUUUUUUUUCUUAUCGAUUGAUUCUAGUUUUUAAUCCAUCAAAAGAUUUUAUGUUGCAUCUUCAUGCCUUGAAACCCAACAUUUUCUUCUCAAGUUGCUUCCUUUGCUCUUCCAAGAGGACACAGCUCCCAUGUCAACGCUCAGCUCCGUAGUCAUCACUAAGAUUUUUAGGAAGAUGGGGAAAGUGGGAUAAUACCAAAAUCCACAAAAAUAUAUAUGUGCUGCAAAACCACAUAGAGAACAAGAGACACAAAAGAAGACAACAGAUUCUUUUUGCAUGGAUGAAAUCAUGAGUUUCUCCCUGGGAUCUUCCACAGCUCCUUUGAUCAGUCUUCCCAGAUCUCUCCCUGAAAUGUGCCAACAGAUCUGGUCCAAGUUAUUAAGAGAUGUACCAGCACUGAUCAAUUGGAGCAGUCCUCUUAUUUAAACUCCUGCUCUUACUUUGGAAUCCACUGACAGUCUUGACCAAGAGCUGAUUGUCUAGCAAAGGAAUGCCUCAGGCCUCCAUGUUGUUUCUGAAAAGAGGUAUUAGAUCUACCUCUCUGGAAUGGCAUCAUUGAAACCAAACAGAGGGAGAAGGUGCUUCGUGUGCUCUUCUUCACACUAAUACUGUGAAAUGUGCAGAGAUACAGAUGAGUAUUUGCCACGCCAGAACAUUCAUCAUCAGACUCCAUUUCAGUGGCACAAUGCAUACUUGUGGGUAAGUCUGUAAGAAGUGAGGUUUCUGAAGACAUCUAUUCUCAGACAGUCCUGCCAGUUGCACACAGUGUUAGACCUCAAGAAGCUUCAUGGUCCAAAU